ensembl:lncRNA
GUCACUCCGCCCUGCUUUAUAUGUGUUCAUCGUUGUAUUCUGUGCUUUAUCAAUGUGUUUUUUAUUACUUUUUUAACAUUAAUUUAGAUUUAACAAUUAUUUGUAUUGAUCACUAACGUAAACAUCAAAUAUUUCUUAUCAGGUGACCCUGUCUACUGCUAACUUAAAACUGGAAAUACAUUAUCACUUAUCGAUUGUCUUUUAUAUCUCUAUCCUUUGAAUUCUGUUUGGGAAUUGGCUCUUACAUUGUUUGAGGUUGGCGCCGCCUAGUGGAACUAUUCUGCCCUUCCGCAAAGAUUCAGAGAUCACACGGAAGGUAAGUAGGCAGAAGCUUCUAUCUUUUUUGAUUUUGAGUUAGCGUUUUUAAUUAAUCUGGAGUUGAAGUUAAACGCUAUCAAUCCGUUUAAUUUCCAUACGUAUAUGUUGCGAGACAACACUUAAACCCGGGAAAACAGUGUCAUUUGCUAAUCAAUAACAUUAUGUUUAGCUGAGCUUUUUCGGGCUCAGGGGUGGAGGGGAUGUGUGAUGCUACUACUGCUUUGUGUGGGGUGCGGUGCCACUGAAAGUGUCCCCGACAGUGUCCCUCAGAGCAGAAGCAACAUGCAGAGCAGAAGGAUGACCCAGAGUUUCUACAAUGCCUCUGGUUUUGUCAACGGGACUUGCCACGUCCCACCUGUUGACUCUGAGUAUGCAUUGAACAGUAGCAGUUCGGCAAGUACAAUAGUUGUCCAGUCCAACAAGAAGACAGUGGUAGAGAAUGGCUAUUCUUCAUCAGCACGACCAAAGAGCAGAAGACGGCGAAAAGGCCUUGGAUCCAAGAAAAGGAGCCGACUUUGGCCCCCACCAGUGGAUACGGCCGUCUGGCCGACGCACCCCGCAGAGGACGAGGACUGGGAGAAAGACAUCCAGGAGGUUGUGCUGGUAGACUGGGAGAAGAGGACUUUUGGACUACAGCCAUACGGUCCAGAGGACCUGUUAAGUUUUGCUCUGCGUGAUGUAUCACUGCACCCCACGGCCCCCCCCAUAACGGCGGGGUACACCCCAGCGGGGAGCCACCCCCCGCCUAUUUUGUGGAAGUGCUACUCGGGUCCCCCGGAGGAGGGACAGUUCUCAGAUGUGGAUGAAUAAGGAAAGAUAGACCAGAUGCACUGUUUACCACCUGCCUUUGAUUAAGCAUGUGCCAAGCUGCUAUAGUUGUGUUUUUAUACGUUCAGAAUUACCACAGUUAUCUUCAGAUUUUAUGUAUUUUUAAUUUUGGCUAUUUGAUUUUCAGGCCGGUGGCUUGUUCAUUGUUAAUUUUUCCAUUUGGUUAUUUGGUGUUUUUAAUUUUGGUCCAGCACAGAAGGAAAUGUGUUGCCAAUUCCCUUGAGCAAAUUUGUAUUAAGGAGUGAUCAAACCAGUUUUGUUACAUAGUGGUAAUUGUAUAUUUAGAAUGUUUUCUUGAAAGACAUAAGUUAUGUUUGGGGAGUUAAUUAUGUCACAGCAUUUACAGUCAAAAUUAAAACUUUUGUUAGAGAAUAUAUUUAAGAAUGAGUAUGUUAUUGGAACCCUCAAAUUAUAUUUUGUUUUUGCACCAACAAGGCAUAUAUUCAUAUUAAAAGUGAUUGUUGCGCCAUAAUCAGUUUCAUAGUGAGUUGGGUUAAUCAUGUGAUGGCAGGCAGGGUGAUAAAGGGAUCUUCUGAUGUUGCAGAAGCAAAAUAUUAGCUAUCAGACGUAUAGCAUAGAUUGAAAUCUACUUUUCAGUUUGACUUACUCAGUGCAGUCGCUUGCAACCAUGUUUUUAAAAA